UCUUGUGGAUGAGCAAAGAAAGUGGUUUCGUGAGAUAGAAUCUGCUCCUGGUGAAGAUGUUGGGAA
rnacentral:pre_miRNA from 1 species